rnacentral:rRNA from 1 species
GUGGGGAAUAUUGCACAAUGGGGGAAACCCUGAUGCAGCAACGCCGCGUGAGUGAAGAAGUAUUUCGGUAUGUAAAGCUCUAUCAGCAGGGAAGAAAAUGACGGUACCUGACUAAGAAGCUCCGGCUAAAUACGUGCCAGCAGCCGCGGUAAUACGUAUGGAGCAAGCGUUAUCCGGAAUUACUGGGUGUAAAGGGAGCGCAGGCGGUUUAGCAAGUCUGAUGUGAAAUCCCGGGGCCCAACCCCGGAACUGCAUUGGAAACUGUUAAACUAGAGUGCCGGAGAGGUAAGUGGAAUUCCUAGUGUAGCGGUGAAAUGCGUAGAUAUUAGGAGGAACACCAGUGGCGAAGGCGGCUUACUGGACGGUAACUGACGCUGAGGCUCGAAAGCGUGGGGAGCAAACAGG